rnacentral:rRNA from 1 species
GAUGAACGCUGGCGGCGUGCCUAAUACAUGCAAGUCGAGCGAACAGACGAGGAGCUUGCUCCUCUGACGUUAGCGGCGGACGGGUGAGUAACACGUGGAUAACCUACCUAUAAGACUGGGAUAACUUCGGGAAACCGGAGCUAAUACCGGAUAAUAUAUUGAACCGCAUGGUUCAAUAGUGAAAGACGGUUUUGCUGUCACUUAUAGAUGGAUCCGCGCCGCAUUAGCUAGUUGGUAAGGUAACGGCUUACCAAGGCAACGAUGCGUAGCCGACCUGAGAGGGUGAUCGGCCACACUGGAACUGAGACACGGUCCAGACUCCUACGGGAGGCAGCAGUAGGGAAUCUUCCGCAAUGGGCGAAAGCCUGACGGAGCAACGCCGCGUGAGUGAUGAAGGUCUUCGGAUCGUAAAACUCUGUUAUUCGGGAAGAACAAAUGUGUAAGUAACUAUGCACGUCUUGACGGUACCUAAUCAGAAAGCCACGGCUAACUACG